rnacentral:tRNA from 1 species
UUAGGCGAAGCUUGUAGCGUUUAACUGUUAAUUAAAAGAAGCAUAUGAAUUAUGCCGCCUAAU